rnacentral:lncRNA from 1 species
GGACAAGGUAAAUGACUGAAGUGUUACUGAUCAAGAUGAAAGGAAGAGCACUGCUCCUCUCUGUUCAGGAAGAACACUUCCUGAUGGAUAUUCAAGCUGGGAAGAAAUAUAAGUUGCAUGUUUCCUGACAUAUUUUGUAGCACCUGUUCACCAACACCCCAUUCUAAAGGAUACUGCUUCAUUGUGUCCUAUGUUUCCUCACUUGCUUCAACUGCAACUGAUUGGGAACAUCACCGAAGGGAGAAAGCUGGGAGGCAAAGCCUGGUGUUUUGUUUGGGUAGAGAAAGAAUGUGUCUUGAAAGUCAAAAGCAUGGAUUAUUCCUUGGAUAUAUUUCUGUGAUGAGCUACUAUCUAAUAGGAAAAGGGAGGAUGUCCGCCUGGCCUGCAGAUUCAGUACAGUGGAAUUUUGACAGCAAUUUGCAAUUAGGUUUUUUGCAACUAACUGUAUCCAGGCAAAACGAUGAAGAUGAUGAAACUUAGACUGAUCAUCUCCCAG